GGGACAAGCGAGGUAGGUGUGUGACAGGCAAAUCCGUCAUAUAAGCCGAAGACGUGAUGUGGAGCGAAAUUUAGUAGUGAAGUAUGUGAGCCAUGUGCCGAGAAAAGCCGCUAUUGUUUUAUAUGUGCCCGUACCGUAAACCGACACAGGUGGAUGAGGAGAAAAUCCUAAGGCCGACGGAAGAAGCAUUGUUAAGGAAUUCGGCAAAAUGACCCCGUAACUUCGGGAGAAGGGGUGCCCACUGAAUGGUGGGCCGCAGAGAAUAGGCUCAAGCAACUGUUUAGCAAAAACACAGGUCUAUGCGAAACCGAAAGGUGAAGUAUAUGGGCUGACGCCUGCCCGGUGCUGGAAGGUUAAGAGGAGAGGUUAGCGUAAGCGAAGCUUUGAAUUUAAGCCCCAGUAAACGGCGGCCGUAACGAUAACGGUCCUAAGGUAGCGAAAUUCCUUGUCGGGUAAGUUCCGACCCGCACGAAAGGCGUAAUGAUUUGAGCACUGUCUCGACAAUGCAUCCGGUGAAAUUGAAGUACCAGUGAAGAUGCUGGUUACCCGCGCCAGGACGGAAAGACCCCAUGGAGCUUUACUCCAGUUUGAUACUGGGAUUCGGUACUGCACGUACAGGAUAGGUGGGAGACUGAGAACUAUGGACGCCAGUCUGUAGGGAGUCGCUGUUGGGAUACCACCCCUGUAGUACUGGGUUUCUAACCAUCUGCCGUGAUCCGGCAGUGGGACAAUGUCAGGCGGGGAGUUUGACUGGGGCGGUCGCCUCCGAAAGGGUAUCGGAGGCGCUCAAAGGUUCCCUCAGAAUGGUCGGAAACCAUUUGAAGAGUGCAAAGGCAGAAGGGAGCUUGACUGCGACACCGACGGGUGGAGCAGGUACGAAAGUAGGACUUAGUGAUCCGGUGGUAUAAAGUGGGAUUGCCAUCGCUCAACGGAUAAAAGCUACCCUGGAUAACAGGCUUAUCACUCCCAAGAGUUCACAUCGACGGAGUGGUUUGGCACCUCGAUGUCGGCUCAUCGCAUCCUGGGGCUGUAGCAGGUCCCAAGGGUUGGGCUGUUCGCCCAUUAAAGCGGUACGCGAGCUGGGUUCAGAACGUCGUGAGACAGUUCGGUCCCUAUCCGGCGCGGGCGGAGGAUAUUUGAGAGGAGCUGUCCUUAGUACGAGAGGACCGGGAUGGACGGACCACUGGUGUAUCUGUUGUCGACCAACGGCAUGGCAGAGUAGCCAAGUCCGGAAGGGAUAAACGCUGAAGGCAUCUAAGCGUGAAGCCCCCCUCAAGAUGAGAUAUCCCUCCUUCGGGAGUAAGACCCCUUGAAGACUACAAGGUAGAUAGGGCAGAGGUGGAAGUGUGGCAACACAUGGAGCUGACUGUUACUAAUAGGUCGAGGGCUUGAU
rnacentral:rRNA from 1 species